CAGCAGCCACGGGAAUGCGUAGGGUGCGAGCGUUAAUCGGAUUUACUGGGCGUAAAGCGUGCGCAGGCGGCCCGUUAAGGCAGGUGUGAAAUCCCUGGGCUCAACCUAGGAAUUGCGCUUGUGACUGGCGGGCUCGAGUACGGUAGAGGGGGGUGGAAUUCCUGGUGUAGCAGUGAAAUGCGUAGAGAUCAGGAGGAACACCGAUGGCGAAGGCAGCCCCCUGGGCCUGUACUGACGCUCAUGCACGAAAGCGUGGGGAGCAAACAGGAUUAGAUACCCCCGUAGUCCCUGUCUCUUAUAC
rnacentral:rRNA from 1 species